GACGAACGCUGGCGGCGUGCUUAACACAUGCAAGUCGAACGGAAAGGCCCUGCUUUUGUGGGGUGCUCGAGUGGCGAACGGGUGAGUAACACGUGAGUAACCUGCCCUUGACUGUGGGAUAACUUCAGGAAACUGGGGCUAAUACCGGAUAGGAGCUCCUGCUGCAUGGUGGGGGUUGGAAAGUUUCGGCGUUUGGGUAUGGACUCGCGGCUUAUCAGCUUGUUGGUGGGGUAGUGGCUUACCAAGGCUUUGACGGGUAGCCGGCCUGAGAGGGUGACCGGCCACAUUGGGACUGAGAGACGGCCCAGACUCCUACGGGAGGCAGCAGUGGGGAAUAUUGCACAAUGGGCGGAAGCCUGAUGCAGCAACGCCGCGUGCGGGAUGACGGCCUUCGGGUUGUAAACCGCUUUCGCCUGUGACGAAGCGUGAGUGACGGUAAUGGGUAAAGAAGCACCGGCUAACUACGUG
rnacentral:rRNA from 1 species